CGGCGGACGGGUGAGUAACGCGUGGGUAACCUGCCUCGUACAGGGGGAUAACAGUUGGAAACAGCUGCUAAUACCGCAUAAGCGCACAGUACCGCAUGGUACGGUGUGAAAAACUCCGGUGGUAUGAGAUGGACCCGCGUCUGAUUAGGUAGUUGGUGGGGUAACGGCCUACCAAGCCGACGAUCAGUAGCCGACCUGAGAGGGUGACCGGCCACAUUGGGACUGAGACACGGCCCAA
rnacentral:rRNA from 1 species